GCUUAACACAUGCAAGUCGAGGGGCAGCAUGGUCUUAGCUUGCUAAGGCCGAUGGCGACCGGCGCACGGGUGAGUAACACGUAUCCAACCUGCCGUCUACUCUUGGACAGCCUUCUGAAAGGAAGAUUAAUACAAGAUGGCAUCAUGAGUCCGCAUGUUCACAUGAUUAAAGGUAUUCCGGUAGACGAUGGGGAUGCGUUCCAUUAGAUAGUAGGCGGGGUAACGGCCCACCUAGUCUUCGAUGGAUAGGGGUUCUGAGAGGAAGGUCCCCCACAUUGGAACUGAGACACGGUCCAAACUCCUACGGGAGGCAGCAGUGAGGAAUAUUGGUCAAUGGGCGAGAGCCUGAACCAGCCAAGUAGCGUGAAGGAUGACUGCCCUAUGGGUUGUAAACUUCUUUUAUAAAGGAAUAAAGUCGGGUAUGCAUACCCGUUUGCAUGUACUUUAUGAAUAAGGAUCGGCUAACUCCGUGCCAGCAGCCGCGGUAAUACGGAGGAUCCGAGCGUUAUCCGGAUUUAUUGGGUUUAAAGGGAGCGUAGAUGGAUGUUUAAGUCAGUUGUGAAAGUUUGCGGCUCAACCGUAAAAUUGCAGUUGAUACUGGAUAUCUUGAGUGCAGUUGAGGCAGGCGGAAUUCGUGGUGUAGCGGUGAAAUGCUUAGAUAUCACGAAGAACUCCGAUUGCGAAGGCAGCCUGCUAAGCUGCAACUGACAUUGAGGCUCGAAAGUGUGGGUAUCAAACAGGAUUAGAUACCCUGGUAGUCCACACGGUAAACGAUGAAUACUCGCUGUUUGCGAUAUACAGCAAGCGGCCAAGCGAAAGCGUUAAGUAUUCCACCUGGGGAGUACGCCGGCAACGGUGAAACUCAAAGGAAUUGACGGGGGCCCGCACAAGUGGAGGAACAUGUGGUUUAAUUCGAUGAUACGCGAGGAACCUUACCCGAGCUUAAAUUGCAGAUGAAUUACGGUGAAAGCCGUAAGCCGCAAGGCAUCUGUGAAGGUGCUGCAUGGUUGUCGUCAGCUCGUGCCGUGAGGUGUCGGCUUAAGUGCCAUAACGAGCGCAACCCUUGUUGUCAGUUACUAACAGGUUCCGCUGAGGACUCUGACAAGACUGCCAUCGUAAGAUGUGAGGAAGGUGGGGAUGACGUCAAAUCAGCACGGCCCUUACGUCCGGGGCUACACACGUGUUACAAUGGGGGGUACAGAGGGCCGCUACCACGCGAGUGGAUGCCAAUCCCAAAAACCUCUCUCAGUUCGGACUGGAGUCUGCAACCCGACUCCACGAAGCUGGACUCGCUAGUAAUCGCGCAUCAGCCACGGCGCGGUGAAUACGUUCCCGGGCCUUGUACACACCGCCCGUCAAGCCAUGGGAGCCGGGGGUACCUGAAGUGCGUAACCGCGAGGAGCGCCCUAGGGUAAAACUGGUGACUGGGGCUAAG
rnacentral:rRNA from 1 species